UACCUGCGCAGGCUCACCAUGCAAGUCGAACGGUAACAGGCAGCAGCUUGCUGCUUCGCUGACGAGUGGCGGACGGGUGAGUAAUGUCUGGGAAACUGCCUGAUGGAGGGGGAUAACUACUGGAAACGGUAGCUAAUACCGCAUAACGUCGCAAGACCAAAGAGGGGGACCUUCGGGCCUCUUGCCAUCGGAUGUGCCCAGAUGGGAUUAGCUAGUAGGUGGGGUAACGGCUCACCUAGGCGACGAUCCCUAGCUGGUCUGAGAGGAUGACCAGCCACACUGGAACUGAGACACGGUCCAGACUCCUACGGGAGGCAGCAGUGGGGAAUAUUGCACAAUGGGCGCAAGCCUGAUGCAGCCAUGCCGCGUGUAUGAAGAAGGCCUUCGGGUUGUAAAGUACUUUCAGCGGGGAGGAAGGUGUUGAGGUUAAUAACCUCAGCAAUUGACGUUACCCGCAGAAGAAGCACCGGCUAACUCCGUGCCAGCAGCCGCGGUAAUACGGAGGGUGCAAGCGUUAAUCGGAAUUACUGGGCGUAAAGCGCACGCAGGCGGUCUGUCAAGUCGGAUGUGAAAUCCCCGGGCUCAACCUGGGAACUGCAUUC
rnacentral:rRNA from 1 species